UAAUGCUUCCCAUAGCAGGAUAUAUCAGUUCCAGCAUCUGAUGGAUCACAUGGAAAGUGCCCAGAAAGGAGACACCCAUCUACAACUCACCGAGUUCCCAGAUUGUGCUUGCGGCUGUGCUGAGAACUUUUUGGUGUGGUCUGUAAGCCAGAGCUGUGGAAUGUCUCCCCUCCCUCCUCCCAUCCCUUCCUCUCUCUCUAAAUGAGGUAUGGCUGAAGACACCCCUGCUUUGUGAGAACCAGUAAAAUGUGGUAAGUUUUGUGUCAUUCCUGCUUGUUUAUCUUUUUGUUUCAGCAUUCAAUUUCUUUUAUAAUAA
rnacentral:lncRNA from 1 species